UUAUGCUGGCAGUUGAAGAAAAUAUAAUUUGAUCAAACAUUAUUCAGCUUUAAAUAUUGUUCAGCUUUAAAGUUACUGUGCAACUGUGUAAUAAAAAUGUGUGCUCACGACUUUGGCCUUGAGAGCGAUAAGAAGCGAUCGCCUCAUCCUGCAGGCGAAAGAUAUCUGCAAGCGAAGAGACUAGAACACCCAAGGCCGAUUUCCUUUUAUGGAGUUGUUUUUCUGCUAAUGCAGCACUUUCCUCACAACCCCCUCCUGUAAGUUUUAGAGAAUAUAUACCCAUCCUCACAGCAAAUAUGAGGAAUCUCCUGAUGUGAGCUGUGUUGAGAGGUUGUCUCUGUCUCAAUAAAAGUUCACUGAUUCCCCCAUCUGCAGCAGGUGUCCGGUUGUCUUCAUUCUCCGCCAGCCUGGUUAAGUCAAUUCCUCCUUAACAUCUAAAAGAACCUAUUUAAUGAAGGAAGACGGGUUCACUUUGUGUUUAAUAUUAUUCUAUUGCUGUUGUUUUUUUUUAUAUCCUUCAAUUGGCGUCACGAACAGGAUCCGCUCCAGGGCAACUGGAACGGAUGGGAGGAAAUCGGCCGUGGUCUGAGUGAACGGAGUUUGGACAAAAGCUGUGUGCACACAAAAACAAGUUGGGAUUCUGUGUGUGUAUGUGUGCUGGAGAAAUAAAAAAAAAAGGAAAAGGGUCUCUCUCUGUCUCUGUGAGAGGAAAAAGGUGGGGGCCGAGUGAGCCCGCGGGGCCGAGCGGGUCCGCGGGAGCGAGCGUGUAUGCUGUAUGAGGAAGAAGGGAGUGAGAGGGAGCGAGUGAAAAGAGUAAUCGAGUAUUUGGUGAUUUUUUUAUUAUUUCAGAGGCACUGGGACAGCUGUUACUGCUUUCGUCGGGAACCGAGACUGCUUGCAGCCGACCCCUGGGCAGGGUGGUGCCUGGACUCUUUUCUCCUCAUCUGCAAUGACAGAUAAAGACAAAUGAUAAGACCCGAGGAGUUUUUCGAGCCAGGCUUCGACACGUCUCUGUGUUCCUUUGAAUGUUACUUAUUUUUGUGUGUUGACCCAUUUAAGAUGGGUCAAAAGGGGGAUUUGAAGAAAAUAUAAUUUGAUCAAACAUUAUUCAGCUUUAAAUAUUGUUCAGCUUUAAAGUUACUGUGCAACUGUGUAAUAAAAAUGUGUGCUCACGACUUUGGCCUUGAGAGCGAUAAGAAGCGAUCGCCUCAUCCUGCAGGCGAAAGAUAUCUGCAAGCGAAGAGACUAGAACACCCAAGGCCGAUUUCCUUUUAUGGAGUUGUUUUUCUGCUAAUGCAGCACUUUCCUCACAACCCCCUCCUGUAAGUUUUAGAGAAUAUAUACCCAUCCUC
ensembl:lncRNA